rfam:Brassica oleracea var. oleracea cultivar TO1000 chromosome C8, whole genome shotgun sequence
GGAAUAUAAGAACCCGUCUCUUAACUUUUAACUAAAAAAACUAAGAACCGUCUCUUGAAUAAGAUAUUCAAGAGACGGUUCUUAGUUUUUUUAGUUAACAGUUAAGAGACGAGUUUUUAUAUUCC